AUUGAACGCUGGCGGCAUGCCUUACACAUGCAAGUCGAACGGCAGCACGGACUUCGGUCUGGUGGCGAGUGGCGAACGGGUGAGUAAUGUAUCGGAACGUACCUUUCAGUGGGGGGAUAACGUAGCGAAAGUUACGCUAAUACCGCAUAUUCUGUGAGCAGGAAAGCAGGGGAUCGCAAGACCUUGCGCUGAUUGAGCGGCCGAUGUCAGAUUAGCUAGUUGGUGAGGUAAAGGCUCACCAAGGCGACGAUCUGUAGCGGGUCUGAGAGGAUGAUCCGCCACACUGGAACUGAGACACGGUCCAGACUCCUACGGGAGGCAGCAGUGGGGAAUUUUGGACAAUGGGCGAAAGCCUGAUCCAGCAAUACCGCGUGAGUGAUGAAGGUCUUCGGAUUGUAAAGCUCUUUUAGUAGGGAAGAUAAUGACGGUACCUACAGAAAAGCACCGGCAAACUUCGUGCCAGCAGCCGCGGUAA
rnacentral:rRNA from 1 species